CACCAGGUUGAUUCUGCCUGACGUGGACGCUAGUCUCACAGAUUUAGCCAUGCAUGUGUAAGCGAAGCUUAUAGUGGAGCGGUAUACGGCUCAGUAACGGGCGAUUUAUUUGUUCUCCUGGGACGGACAACAUCGGGAAACUGAUGGGAAAACGUCUAAGUUGCAGUUAAUUGACUGUGACGUAAACUUUCGUGUGCAGGAGAGUAAGAUGCCAUCCUAUCAGUUAGUAAGUAGGGUAAGGGCCUACUUAGACGAAGACGGGUACGGGGAAUGAGGGUUUGAUUCCGGAGAGGGAGCCUGAGAGAUGGCUACCAGGACCAAGGUCAGCAGCAGGCGCGAAAAUUAUCGAAGCCCGCCUAGGGGCGAUAGUGAGGAGACGUGUAUAACGAAGUACGUGUAAAGAACGUGCUAAUAACUGGAGGUCAAGUCUGGUGCCAGCAUCCGCGGUAAUUCCAGCUCCAGGGGUGUCUAUGAUGAUUGCUGCGAUUAAAAAGUCCGUAGUCAAUCUGACUGACUGACCUGCAAUGUGAUUGAUUAAAGAACGAGCAGGGUUAGGAAAGCAGAGAAUUAGGAGCGACCGAGGGCUAGAGUAUUGAAUGGCGAGAGGUGAAAUUUGAUGACCCAUUCAGGAGUGACAAAGGCGAAGGCACUAGUCAAGGGCGAAUCCGAUGGUCAAGGACGUAGGCUAGAGUUUCGAAAACGAUUAGAGACCGGAGUAGUUCUAGCAGUAAACUAUGCCGACGCCGUGGUAUCAACAAUGGUAUUGCGGAAGAGAAAUCAAGUAAGGCUUUGGGGAGAGUACGCGCGCAAGCGAUAAAUUUAAAGGAAAUU
rnacentral:rRNA from 1 species